rnacentral:lncRNA from 1 species
CGAAAAAGGCGAGAGAUGCCCUCCUGGACACUAUUGUCCCCAAGGCUCCUUCGAACCAGUCCCGUGCCCAGCUGGUACAUACAAUCCGUACGAAGGGAAGGGCAAUAUAUCGGAUUGCUUCAGCUGCACCAACGGCUCGGUCGGUACCCGUACUGGACAAAGCAGCUGUUCGUUUUGCGGUGGAAGCUCCUCGACAUCUCCUGGAGGAUCGCUUUGCCAAUGCAUUGGCGCCAACAGAGUGUUUCAGCGAAGCACGCGGACCUGCGUUUGCCAAACGGGCUACAUCUACGUCGAGAAUGGCAUUGAUCUGUCGGACCAGGAUGGAAAGGGUGACUGCCAGGAGCAGGCUUACGGUGAAUGUGACUACGGAGAAGUGCGUGACCCGGAAAAUAACUGCACUCUCGCUGACGUUCUCUGCAAUACCCAAUGCGGCCAACAAGGAGGGGUGUACGAUGCUAACUACCAGCGAUGUCUCUGCGCGAAUAUGUUGACAGCUGAGGAGGUUUGUGAUGAGACUUGUCGGCGGCGAGCAGGCAGCAUGAUCAUUCAUAAUGGAAACUUGGUUUUCAC